CAGAGAUUUAUAUGGAAGAGGAGGUGGAAAGAUUGCAAAUCCAUUGUUGGUAUGACUACAAAGAAAGAACGUAUUCCAGAUACAACACGACUGAUGUACAUAUGAACUCACAGAGACUGCACCAGCACCCACAAGUCCUAAACAGACAAAUAUCCCAGCACUGAAAUAGGCUAGCCUGAAAGGAGCUGUAAUUUGGCAUGCAGUCUUUGUCUCUCAGCAUCUUGGAGUUAUCUGCAGGACGCUAGUAAAUAUUAAACAAUAAAAA